rnacentral:rRNA from 1 species
GACGAACGCUGGCGGCGUGCCUAAUACAUGCAAGUCGAGCGAACCAAUAAGAAGCUUGCUUUUUGUUGGCUAGCGGCGGACGGGUGAGUAACACGUGGGUAACCUGCCUGUAAGACCGGGAUAACUCCGGGAAACCGGUGCUAAUACCGGAUAGAUUAUCUUUCCGCCUGGAGAGAUAAGGAAAGAUGGCUUUUGCCAUCACUUACAGAUGGGCCCGCGGCGCAUUAGCUAGUUGGUGAGGUAACGGCUCACCAAGGCGACGAUGCGUAGCCGACCUGAGAGGGUGAUCGGCCACACUGGGACUGAGACACGGCCCAGACUCCUACGGGAGGCAGCAGUAGGGAAUCUUCCGCAAUGGACG